UACGAGGGGGGCGAGCGUUGUUCGGAAUUAUUGGGCGUAAAGGGUGCGUAGGCGGUUUGGUAAGUCUUAUGUGAAAUCAACAGGCUCAACUUGUAGUCUGCAUGAGAAACUGCCGGGCUUGAGUAUGGGAGAGGUGAGUGGAAUUCCUGGUGUAGCGGUGAAAUGCGUAGAUAUCAGGAGGAACACCUGUGGCGAAAGCGGCUCACUGGACCAUAACUGACGCUGAUGCACGAAAGCUAGGGGAGCAAACAGG
rnacentral:rRNA from 1 species